rnacentral:lncRNA from 1 species
ACAGGAGCCCCAGGUGACCAGUGAUCAAACACCACAGCAGUUGCAAGCCCUGCGAAACCUGGCAACUGUAAAGCAGGAGCCCCAACAGAUACAAAGUAUGAGAGGCCUUGCCACUGUGAAGAUGGAGCCACAACAUUCCUCACCCUCUUUGUUUCUACAUCAGCAACAGCAGCGACAACAGCAGCAGCAGCAGCAACAACAGCAGCAGGUACUUCACAUGUCCAAGCAGUCCCCUCAAUCUGCAGCAGCGGCUCAGCUUUUCCACCAGCAGAGGAUUAUGCAGCUCCAGCAGCAGCAGCAGCAGCAGCAACAACAACUCUUGAAGACUAUUCCUCAGCAAAGAAAUCCACUUCAACCGCAAUUUCAACCACAGAAUCAUGCUUUAAGGUCUCCUAUAAAACCAGCUUAUGAGCCUGGGAUGUGUGCCCGUCGGCUGACUCAUUAUUUGUAUCAGCAGCAACACAGACCUGAAGUAAGAAAACUGUGCCAACUAUAAUUUCUGGGUGGACCAUAAACUCUGCACCCUACCAUGCAGCUUAUCUGAUCUCAAUUGAUCCUUUAUUUGACUACAGCCCUAUGAUGUUACAUUUGCACUACCUUUUUUAUAGGACAAUAACAUAGAGUUCUGGAGAAAAUUUGUCGCCGAGUAUUUUGCUCCACAUGCCAAGAAAAAGUGGUGCGUUUCUAUGUAUGGAAGUGGUCGGCAGACCACUGGAGUUUUUCCUCAGGUUGGUUGUGUUAUUGAUUUUUCUUAAUCAAAUGUGAGAAAUCUUCUUAUAUAGUUAAAAAAUACGGUUAUAGUAAGUCACAUACCGCAUCCACAUCUAUGGCUUGAUAAAGCUUUUCUGAAAAUUGAUUCUUUUUUCAGCUUUGAUAACUAAUUUGGAUUUGUUGCUUAUAUGUUAUGCAAAUUUAUUGCCGACCAACUUUUUCCUUGUAUUAGAAAAUUAAUCACUAUUAUAUAAUUUGCAGGAUGUAUGGCACUGUGAAAUAUGCAACCGCAAGCCAGGCCGUGGGUUUGGUAUGUUUCUUUGUAACUUACAAAGCCAUUGUUGUUGACUCGUAAUUUCUGCACCCAUUUGGUUCAUUUUCCUCCAUGUAAUCUUUAUGGGCAUCUGAUGUUUCUGAACUUAUUUGUUCAGAAGCGACUGCUGAAGUCUUGCCCAGGCUUUUCAAGAUAAAAUAUGAAAGUGGGACUUUGGAAGAGCUACUCUAUAUUGAUAUGCCGCGUGAAUAUCAGAAUUCAUCUGGACAGAUUGUCCUAGACUAUGCAAAAGCAAUUCAGGAGAGUGUUUUUGAGCAGCUUCGUGUUGUCCGUGAUGGUCAGCUUCGAAUAGUGUUCUCACAACCUGAUCUGAAGGUUAAUUGAAGAGCUCAUAGCGUUUUAUUUUAAUAACUAUACUUAUUAAUCAGUUGUUUAAGACACGGCACAGUGCAGAUGAAUGUCUAUUAUUUUCUUUUAACUGUUUUCCUUUUUGUCAACAUGGCAGAUCGUCUCUUGGGAAUUUUGUGCUCGACGUCACGAGGAGCUAAUCCCUAGAAGAUUGUUGAUACCUCAGGUUGCUCAAUGUUGCUUUGAACUGCUAAUUUACCUUGAUCUAUGUGAAUCAUGCUUCAGCUCUAACCUGACUUGUAUGCUUCUGUUUUCUAAUCUGGUUUGGCAAAAACUUUUGCUUUCUCUUACAAUUUAUGCUAGAACAGAAACAUUUUGUCCAGAUAAGUACGUACGGGCUAGUCAAACAAGGUCUUCAAUGUCCCUUUUAGAUGUACUUGAUGAGAUUGAGGUCUUGUGAGAUAUAAUUUCUCAAAUAAGGUUUUGCUGUUGUAAAGUUAUAUGUGUUUCAAACAUGAUCCGUUGAGCAUGCCUUUUUCCCUCUAAUUUUCCUUUUCAUCGUGACUUGGUAUAAGUUUAUAUACAUCUUAGAGAUUUGACUUGCUUUCUCUUUUCCAUUUUUUAUAAAAUGCCAUCUUGCUAGAAAAAAGAACUAUGGUUGCUGACCAUCUUAUUCUCAUCCCUGAUCCAUGGUGGUGAAUUGGUCGGAGCAGUUAGUAGAUUGCACUGUAAAUCACUUUCUCCGACUUGAAUUCAAAUUACCAUCCAUAGGUUGGAGACCAUCGGUAUAAAUAUAGAUCUAUGUCUGUUGGAUAUGUUUGAGCCGGAUACCAGUGCAUUAGGUAGUAGGAUUAGCCCUUGCCCCUGGUUAAGGGUUUGGUGAUGUUGUAGUAUUGCAGCAGUGGAGGUCCGGUAGAGGAAAAAAUUCCAAAUGUUGUUUCAGCUGUUGGCAAUGGUAACCGAGGCCAGUAGACCCUGGCUUUUGGUGCUUUCAGUUUUGUGUCUGAUAUCUGUGCUUCAUCAUGGCAAUGUAUGAUUGGAAUUGGUUUGAGUGUUGGAUCCCUAAUUAUGAUUAAUUUAGUAGAGAUAAAGAAGCACUAGAAUCAGUAUUGUUAGCCCUUGGUUAAGAGUUUGGUGAUGUUGAACUAUUGCGACAGUGGAGAGCGGUGGUGAAAAAUUCAAAAACCUGUGUUGGCUGUUGGCUAAUGCAACCAAGGCCAGUAAAGCCUGAAAUUUUGUGCUUUAUGUUGUGUUCGAGGACAUUUUUGCUUCGUCAUGCCAAUGUACACUUGACAGUAAUUGAGUGUCGAAGGGCGAACUAUGAGAAUAUAGUAGUGAUACAGAAGCACUAGAAUCAAUAUUGUUAAGAGUUCACUGAGGUGCACUUAGUGCUGCAGUUAGGUGAAGUGUAGUCUCGGCCCUUCACUUUGCUUCAGACUUCUGCGACGCUUUAGUACUGGCACAAACGCAUGUGACUCAGAGCUGAUGAGCUCUUUCCUGAAAUGAUCGAGACAACACAGUAAAUAUAGUUGGAAGAGUGAUAUGUUGAUUUUUAAAGGAACAUUAUAGAUAAAUAUGUUAGCAUCUAAGAAUAGAGAAAUAGAGAUUUAGUAUAAGAAAAUUAGAUACUAAAAAUGAAAAAAUAUUGGAGAUCAAAUAAUCUGUCUGGUUUUGCUUAUACUUUUUGCUUCUAUAUUUGAAAAAGACAUUCAAAUUUUGGUGCUAACAGUCCUGGCUUUGAAUGUGCUGAUUCGGGGUUAUCAUUAUAUUUGCCCGUGCGUGAUCCACAUAUUCAGAGUUGUGUUGAAUAUCUUCUCAUAAAGUUUUAAGUUUUUAGAUGCCGUUGACCUGAUGAAGCAUUUAGUUCACUGUCAUUUCCGUUGCACCUAAUUGACUGCAAGACAGGGUUAAUUAAAUUUCUCUUCAGAAUGUCUCUUUAUAAAGUUUUCACAUAUUCUUGUUUCCUGUCCUUCUGUGUGCUUUAAUUCUUAGGGGUUUGUCACAUCUUUUAGCAGAUUGUUUGUGUUGCCUGGACGAAGCUCUCUUUCAUUUUUGGAUAUAGUGGCAUUUGCAUCUUUUUGAUUUGCUUUUUAUGAUUUUCAUGUGUAGGUGAGUCAACUUGGCGCUGCAGCUCAGAAGUACCAGGCAGCCACCCAAAACGGAUCAUCUGCAGCGUCUGUUUCUGAGUUGCAGAAUAACUGCAAUAUGUGAGUCCUAGAUAUUUAUGGCACAGGUUUUAUACGAAAUGUUAGGGCUGACACUGUUGUGCCAUAUCUUUGUUUAAUGGGGUCUAACUAUUUCGAUUUAGAACAUAUAUCUCACUCUGUGUUGAAAAAUUAUUUUCUUUAAGUAGGUAAUAAGGAUGAGCUUUGUCUCCAUUUAGGGACUGGCUUCUUUGUUGGUCUCUGCUGGUACUUUAAUUUUACAGAUCAUUCUUAGCAGACUUAAAUUGGGACUUUAAUGUUAAUGUUGUGAUAUUUGAUCAGUCAGUCAUCCUAUUAGUGCUUUAUCUUACUAUGAUGUGCACGUCUGAUAACAGAUAUAGCUCAAAUUUUAGUGUUAUGGAUUGCUAUUGCUGGUCAUGCUGCCAAGUCUUGGAAGCUCAAUUGCUCCUGAAACUAAAAAUUUGGAAGUCUAGUUGAUAUCCGCGAUUUGUUAAAUUUGGAUGAACAGCUAAAUUGCAGUUGUGUUUGAUUGUUAAAAUGUCUUUAUUAACUGAAAACAGCAUAUCCUUUUUGGGUUCUGAUAGCUCAAUUUUCCAUUCCUGAUAAAUGAAAGAGAAUAUUGGUCUUGAACUUUUUUGGAAAGCAAAUAUCCUCUUGAAAGUGGUGAAUUAGCUAUCCCGGUGUACCUGUGAAUAUAAGACAUGUUCCUACAGCUUCAAAAUGCAGAUCUUACACGGAAUAUUGGUCUUGAACUAUGGAUUUGCAUUUUGUCAUGUCUCUACUUGGUUAUGUUAAGAUUCAAGGAGAAAUGAUAUUAUUUCUUGGUCGCCAGUCAGAAUAUGAGUUUAUCUCCGUUUUCUAUAUUUUAAAGAACUUCACCAAUCUAUCGACAACUACAACUUUAUCGCAAAGAAGGUUGAUUCAACUUAAAUUAUUUUAUUCAUAAAUAAUUUUCUUUAACGCAAAUUAGGAUUUCUAUAAACCUGGAGGUUGUUUACUCACAAUUUUCUUGCAUUAAUAUACCACUCUCUAACUGGUCUGAAAGGACUUCUGGCAAACAUCAUAUCUAAUGUAACAAUAAUCAAUGUUGCUCGGACUCUCCAAAAAUAUACCCGGAUGCGUGUCGGAUACUCCAAAAUUAGUUUAUUUUAGAAGUAUCCGACACGGGUGCGGCAAGAUUUUGGAGAGUCCGCUCAACAUAGACAAUAAUAACUAAGCAUUAAUCUUGACUAGUUGGUGUCGCCUAUUUGGAUCAUUUGCUUUCAUUAUGUUCUCUCAUAGUUAAGUCCGAACUGAUUCGUGAAAUUGUAAGCUUUUAACGACAACUUCUCUCCAUAUGAUUUUAGCCUUAUACCCUUUUAGCACCUUCAAUCAUAAUCAGGAACAAUGUAUAUAUAGGGUUAAAGUUAUGUCUAUAGAUUCUCUUAUUCUAGAUUUUUCUUAUGCUUGUGUAUUUGCUAAGGAUCGUUUAUCUCUUUAUUUAGCUGUUAAUUUAAAUAAUAUCACUUUUGAGAUUUUGACUUGUGAUUUUGAUUCAGGUUUGUUGCCUCAGCUCGUCAGUUGGCAAAAGCUUUGGAAGUUCCGUUGGUAAAUGAUUUAGGGUAUACAAAGAGAUAUGUGCGAUGCCUUCAGGUAUACACCUCGUUCUGAUGCUGUAAGGUUUUUAUUUUGGUUCUUUUCUGGAUUUGUUUGGAGAUUUUCUGCUUGUUUCGAUGGUGAUAUCACUACAAAUUGUUGAAAUAUUUGCUUCUGUUAGAGUGUUUAAUUUCCNNNNNNNNNNNNNNNUCCUCUCUCUCUCUCUCUCUUUUUAAUCUGCCAUCUUCCCAUGUAAUUCAAAGCACAGCUGAAAAUGAAGGCCAAAAUUCAGAUUUUAUAGCAGGUAGCAGCUCGGGGAUUUUUGUCAUAUUGGGAAUUCCUAAAUCCUACUGGAAACUGACUUAUGAGUUAAUAUAUGAAGUAGACGGAACAUAUUUCGGCCUGUACUCGGGAUAGAGAUUUCUGAUGCCAUUCUGUUCUUCCUGUUGAGAAGCGUUUUCUUUUUAAUUUCUGGAGUUUACUUCGUUUUUAUAAUUUUAUUUCAGUGGGUCAUAGAGGGUCUAGUUUCACAAGAUAAUUUCCAGUUCAGCAAUUCUCUCAACACCUCCCCCCCCCCCCCCCCUUUUUUUAUUUUAUUUUUUACCUUUCCAAGUGUUUAUCACGUAGGCCUAGACUUUUUUCCAGUGGCAUUUUUAAAAUGAAUCUAAUCUGACUGAAAGUUGCACGCAUGAUGCAUUCAAAUGAUAACUCUUCUGCUGUAAUUGUGUUUCGCUUUAAUCUUGUCUUCAAUUCACAGUCUUAUGGAUAUAAUUUAUAUUCUUCUGUAUACUGCUGGUGCAAUUGCAGAUAUCAGAAGUAGUUAAUAGCAUGAAAGAUUUGAUUGACUACAGCAGAGAGACAAGGACAGGGCCUAUGGGUAAGUUCUGCAUUUUUACCUUUCAACUUGUUCCUGUUGGCUGUUGCUAGUUUAAAGGUCUUCUAUAUCCACCAAGUAAUCACAAAGAUCAAAAGUGAGGUUGCAGGGGCUAAUCUUUCUCUGUGGUUUGAUGGUUUAGAGAUUAGGGUACAAUUGUUAUUCAUCACAAUGCAUGAAUGUUAUCAUCUGAAGUUAAAUUUUACGCGAAAGACAAAUUGCUUUUUGAGGUCGAAACAGGCCACUACCUAAUGUACAUGUGCAAAAAUCCAAACUGGCUGUGUCUGACUGUAGAUUCAUUGUAUAUGCAUUUAACUUGUUGGAUUUAAUGUAGCGGGUUGUGUGGUGUUAAGAACUUAACCCUCGGAGUACCGCAUGAAUGUGGGGUUGAUACAGUUCUGUAAACCUCACAAUUGUGCUUGAAAUUUGGCCUUUCCAGAGAGCUUGGCUAAGUUUCCUCGUAGGAAUGGUUCAUCGGCUGGGGUACAUGGUGCAGCUCAACCAUCUGAGGAUCAGUCUCAGCAGCAGCAGCAGCCACAGUCUCAGCAGCAGCAGCAGCAGCAGCAGCAACAGCAACAACAUACGGCCAGUCAGAACUCAAACCACGAGAGCUCUGUCCAGGCUGGUGCAAUGCAACUUGCUUCCAGCAAUGGUAUUCUGAGCGAAAACAACCCUUUAAACCCUGCACCUGUUACUUCGACUAGUAGUACUGGUGCUCGGCUAUUGCGCCAAAAUUCCAUGAACUCUAGGCAACAGGCAACAAUGAAUGGUGUGAACAGCCCUUAUGCAGGAAAUGCUGUUCAAAUGCCUUCACCAAGUUCUUCAAAUACAAUGUUACAGUCUCAACAAAAUCUGUCUGCACUCCAAUCACCAACACCGUGUUCAUCAAGCAAUCCGCCACAAACUUCACAUGGUGGCUUAACAUCAGGAUCACACGUGAAUUCUGCCAAUUCCCCGAAUAUUUCAAUGCAUCAAGCCACUCUUUCAGGUGAUAUUGAUGCUAACGACUCUCAGAGUUCUGUACAAAAGAUCAUACACGAAAUGAUGAUGUCUUCCCAACUUGGUGGAGGUGGCCUUGUAGGUGGUGGUGCCACGGGGAAUGAUAUGAAAAGUGUAAAUGGUUUGAUAACAACUGCUAAUAACUCCAUUCUUAAUGGAAGCAGCUGCCUUGUUGGGAAUGGGACAGCAAAUGCUAAUAUUGGUAUGUCUCCAGGAUAUGGCAACAGGGGCAACGGACUGAGCCAGGCUGCAAUGGCCAAUGGAAUUCGGGCUGCAUUAGGUAAUAGUUCUGUGGCUAUGAAUGAAAGGGUUGGCAUGCCAAUGUCAAGAGAGCAAAGUGUGAGUCAACAGCAACAAGAUUUGGGAAACCAACUACUUGGUGGUUUAGGAGCAGUCAAUGGUUUCAGUAACCUUCAGUUUGACUGGAAAACAUCCCCCUAAAGGUUUUGACUUGGCUUUAGCCUAGAAGGUAAGAACAAAGUGACAAGAUCCUUUAGGAGAUAGGGGUGCUCUCUUGUGGUUGUAAUUGCAUAUUUGGUUCUCAUGUGCUGCUUUGUGCUGCAAAGGUGACAUGAUUUUGCCUUGCACACUGAUAGUAGGUAUGAAUCCUGAAGAGCAAUCAUUUCAGGGCUUGCCUAUGUUGUAGUGAUUUGCCCGAGAAGAAAAACAUGUAGCACAGUAAUUUCAUGAUUGAAAUGUUACAUCACCUGAGGUAGCAUAAGAUUCUUCUAACUUGAUUUUGUCUGGUUUAUCACAGCUAUACAUACUUGCACUAACAGCCUUGAAUAGGACAUUCCAGGAGUGACUUGGCACACACUUGUACCUUUUCGAGGCAUUUGUAAACUACCGAAUCUGCUGAGCUCUUGCCCAUCUUGUGCUGUAUCUCUGCCACCACUCCGGAACAUGAGUGUAUAUAGUCUGGAUUGUGUGGAAGGUAUUUUAUAUUAGAACUUCAGGAGCUGGUAGAAAUUGACUUACCACUUGUUCCAUGGUAAUGUGUCUAAUGCAAUCACUUCAUUUCUCCUCUCUCCAGACACCUACUAUGUUUUUGUAUCAAUUAUGCAGUUUUGAUUGUUGUGGUUGCUGGCUUUUGGAGUGGCUGGAUGCUAAAGAUGAGGAUUUACCGUUUGGGGGGGGGGGGGGGUGAAUAUUGGUAUCAGUGCUUUAAUUUCUGUUAAGGGGGCAAAUUUUGACUUUUUCCUUUUUCCUCAUGUUUACUCGGUCAAAGUAUUUGUAUUCACCUGUUACCCCGUCUCUAAUCCCCAAAAAAGAAAGAAGUAGAAUUCCUUAAUUUCCUCUCUUUUUUUUUUUUUGGGUGGCUAAGCAAACUGCUAUCUGUUGAAUCGCGUAUGUUGGUGACAUUGGUGCUAUCAAAUCUUUGGUAAUCUCAAGGCGGUAUGCUAAAUGAUGGUUAUCAUAAAAAUAAGAUGAGACUGGGCAGAAAGAUGUUACUUAAAUAUGACAUCGAUAUUCUAGUAAAUUUUAUCGUAGAAGUAUAGUUUUUUUAACAAACCUUAAACUACGUAUUAUAAAUUUGGACUGCUAUUCUUAAAUAAUAUGAAUAUUUCUGUAAUUCGAUUUUCAACGCUGGACCUUUCCGAAAAUCGUAAGGAGAUACACAUGAACAAAAAUCAUCUAGAGUUUUAGAAAGUCCCAUCAUUUCCUUCUGCCUUCUUAAUCACCCGAUCUUUUUUUCCCCUUUUUUUCUGGAAUACCCAAUUUCAACAUAGAGUUCUUCUUAUAUGUAUAGUAUUUACUUAAAUAAUUUAAGAAAAAAUUGAUGAAUAUACUAAUUAAAUAUUAAUAAAUUAAUUUGAUUGACAAAACUCAUGUUAAAACUUAAUAUAUAAUUUAAUAAAUUUAAACUCUUGAAAGGCGUGAUCUGAAUUUUGUAGACUAACAAUAUAAGUAAAUCUUUUUAAAUAUGAUGGUAAGUUAUUACCACUGAGAAAUCGAUCCAAAGUUAAGGGUACUUAUGCCUUUUCAUCCAUCUCUUGAACGUCCAUGGUUACGAGCUUUUGCACUAUGCACAUGCAUGUACACCUGAACAUUUCCCCACCCCACACACCCACAGGAAAAAGGCAGAAGAGGAUUUGACUUCGUUUGAUUGAGAGAAGAAAAAAAAUAAAAAAAGGUAAAGAAAGAAAGAGUGAAGGAAAGAGAAAUAUUCAAUCUGAUUGAAUGCAGUUUUGACGUCCGCAAGAACUCUCUCUCUAACUUUCUCGCUCUAAAGAGGACAGCGCAGAAACUCAGAGAAAACUCUUCUCUCUACUGAAACUUCUUCACUUUGACAAAGCAAAGUCCCCAAGCUAAUUUGAGCUGUGGAUCUUGUUCUAUGCACUUUAUUGCGCGAUUUAGGGCUCGAUCAAGUGAACAUGUAAUUUAUUAAUCACUUGUUUUUAUUUUUCUACUCUCGAAUUAUUUACUGUACCUAGCUUAGUUUUCAGAGGAAUUUUUUUUCGUCUUUUUUAUUUCUCAGUUUUCUGAUUUUCGUCUUUAUUUGAUUAGUGAGUAUGAAGUAUGCUUUGUUUUUUAUUUUUCUUACUGUGUUGAGAUUUGAGUUUUGCUAUGUUUUUAUGGAAGCCAGGGAGAAAUUUGACUCAAUUAAACAAUUUUUUUUUUCUUGCAGGGAUAAGUGGAUAGAGAUAUUUAGUUGAGCAGAAAAAGAGAGGCUUUGGAAGUUUAAGAGUUAAAGCUGCUUGUAGCUUGUACUUGGUUAAAGCUAUUGAUGAUGCACAACAGGUUUUCUCAGCAGUGAGGGUCCUCCCUUUGGUUUGGCUCAAAAUAGGGACUUUGGAAUGUCAAUUGAUGUAGUAGGUUCUGCUUGUUGUUCUGUGUAAUUCUCUUUUCAGAGUGAAGUAUAAAGUCUCCAGAUCUGGGGUGUUAGGCUUCAUUCCGUUUUAGUUUUCUAUAAUUUUUUUAGUGUUUGUAGAUUGUUAUCUAUUGCAUAAAAGAUAUGGUGCCACCAGGACCUCCUAAUCCACUUGGAGGUGCCCAGCCUGUCCCGUCUUCGUUAUUGCGAUCAAAUUCUAGUUUAUUGGGUGGUCAAGGGGGUGGAAUGCCUACCCCAGGUGGUUUCCCUUCUAUUGUGUCACCUCGGACUCAGUUUGGUAACAUGAAUAUGCUAGGAAAUGCUCCAAAUGUUUCGUCUCUGCUCCAUCAGUCCUUAGGAAAUGGUGGUCAUAAUUCAGGGCGAGCUGAUAAUGGGGCCGAGUCUGAUCCAAUGGCCAGUGCUGGCAAUGGUAUGGGGUUUAAUGCUCCUUCAACAUCUUUUAGCUCAUCGGCCAUGGCAGCAAAUCCAAAUUCAGGUCAAGUUCAGGGACAGCGGUUUCCCAGCCAUUCUGGUAACCAGAUGUUAACUGACCAAUCACCGUCCCAACAGCUUGAUUCCCAGAACUACCAACAUAAUCAACAAUUUCAGCAAUUUUCUGCCCCUAGCAAUUCCCAAACACAGCAACAGCAGCAGCAAUUUCAAUCCAUGCGAGGUGGAUUAGGAGGUGUAGGACCUGUCAAACAGGAGCCCCAAGUGACCAAUGAUCAAACUCCACAGCAGUUGCAAGCACUACGAAACCUGGCAACUGUAAAGCAGGAGCCCCAACAGAUACAAAGUAUGAGAGGCCUUGCCACUGUGAAGAUGGAGCCACAACAUUCCUCACCCUCUUUGUAUCUACAUCAGCAACAGCAGCAGCAGCAGCAACAACAGCAAUUACUUCACAUGUCCAAGCAGUC